rnacentral:lncRNA from 1 species
CAAAACGCUAGUUGAGGAACAAACACUUAAAUCUCCUCUUCUCUCUCUAUGCAUUUUGUAUUGAGAAUUCCCAGCAUUUAAAAAAAAAGACUGUGUAAUCAGGAAAAAUAAAAAAGUGAAGUUUCCAAGAAUACCCCAUUGCACCAAAUUUAAAAUAGAUGAGGGCAGGCAGCAAAAUUUAUGCAAAUUGACUCUCUCUUCUCUCCCACCCCCAUUGACUAACCUCCUCCUCCUCUCCUCUUCUCUUCUCUUCAAACUCCAAGGCUUUUUAGUUUUUACUUUUCAUACAUAUAAAGCCAAACAGAAUCUUCUUCUUCUUCCAUAAAAUUGAUAAUCACUCUCACUCCACCUUAAUCCCCACCCCCAGGCCGGUUCAUACAGAGAGGGGAGAGAAAUUUAUUAUAUAAUUGAUCCCAUGCUAGAUAUAUACUAGCUAUGAGUUGGACUAAUGUUAUCAAAAAACAAAUGGGUUUGGGAAAAGGGUUGGCUUGCUUUUCACUUCUUCUAUUGAUGCUUCUACAUUUACAGAUUACGGCGACGACUCCAUGUUGUGCUGCUAAUAAAUUCAGCAGAUUUAAAAGUGAAGCUGCUGCUGCUGCUGCUGCUGCAGCAGCCAGUUCUAUAAAUGGCAGAUUCAAAGGAAAGGAGCUGCAGGAUGUUGAUGAAAUUUUUGGUGCUGAUAAAAGGAAAGUCAAUACUGGGCCCAAUCCUCUACACAAUAGAUAAGUAGAAGGCUUGAUUUUUCUCUUUCUUUCAAGCAAUCAAAUUUCUCAAUUGCUUGCUUUCUUUUCCUUGCUGUUUUGUUUUGUUUUGAUAAUGUAUACUGUAUGUGAUAUAUGCUUCUUCAAGGUUCAGAGGAAUGUUUCAAGUAGUUACCUUACAUGAUUUGUAUAUGGAAGAUUAAUUUUGUUGAGCAGAUAUUGAUUAUUUUUUUUGUUUGAUGUAUAUAUGAGGUAAAAUUUGGAGUACCAUUUAGAGAAAUAUAUUAUGCACUAGUGUUUUUUAGGUAAAAUUAUGAUGGUAGCUAGGUAGGUUGGUGGUGAAAUGAAUAGACUAAUGUUGUUUGUUUGGUGCUCCAAUUUCUUGCUAGACUCUCUGGUACUACAUAUAAUGAGGAGGAUUUGGUUUCAAUGGACUUAACUCCUUUGAUUUUUUAGUUUUGCAUUACUACUAUUAGGUAGGUAGUAGUACUCCUCGGAGGAGGCUAAUUG